rnacentral:lncRNA from 1 species
CUUGAUCAAGCUCAGAUCAAGGGAAGAGAAAGUGUUAGAAUCAACAUCAAUCAUAGGGUUUGUGGGGUUGUAUUGCUACAUUUCUCUUGUAAAACGACAAUUGCAAAGGUUAAUUUUCAUUAUCUCAAUUCGAGUUUAAAUUGAGGGCAUACGUGCCCAUAACGAGGCCGAUUGAGGAACAGCCUAAAAAAAUCCUUAUGUACUUUUUCUCUCUUUCUCUCUUU